GAUGAACGCUGGCGGCGUGCCUAAUACAUGCAAGUCGAGCGAACGGACGAGAAGCUUGCUUCUCUGAUGUUAUCGGCGGACGGGUGAGUAACACGUGGAUAACCUACCUAUAAGACUGGGAUAACUUCGGGAAACCGGAGCUAAUACCGGAUAAUAUUUUGAACCGCAUGGUUCAAAAGUGAAAGACGGUCUUGCUGUCACUUAUAGAUGGAUCCGCGCUGCAUUAGCUAGUUGGUAAGGUAACGGCUUACCAAGGCAACGAUGCAUAGCCGACCUGAGAGGGUGAUCGGCCACACUGGAACUGAGACACGGUCCAGACUCCUACGGGAGGCAGCAGUAGGGAAUCUUCCGCAAUGGGCGAAAGCCUGACGGAGCAACGCCGCGUGAGUGAUGAAGGUCUUCGGAUCGUAAAACUCUGUUAUUAGGGAAGAACAUAUGUGUAAGUAGCUGUGCACAUCUUGACGGUACCUAAUCAGAAAGCCACGGCUAACUACGUG
rnacentral:rRNA from 1 species